CUACGUGCCAGCAGCCGCGGUAAUACGUAGGGUGCGAGCGUUAAUCGGAAUUACUGGGCGUAAAGCGAGCGCAGACGGUUACUUAAGCAGGAUGUGAAAUCCCCGGGCUCAACCUGGGAACUGCGUUCUGAACUGGGUGACUAGAGUGUGUCAGAGGGAGGUAGAAUUCCACGUGUAGCAGUGAAAUGCGUAGAGAUGUGGAGGAAUACCGAUGGCGAAGGCAGCCUCCUGGGAUAACACUGACGUUCAUGCUCGAAAGCGUGGGUAGCAAACAGGAUUAGAUACCCUGGUAGUCCACGCCGUAAACGAUGUCGAUUUGGAGGUUGUGCCCUUGAGGCGUGGCUUCCGGAGCUAACGCGUUAAAUCGACCGCCUGGGGAGUACGGCCGCAAGGUUAAAACUCAAAUGAAUUGACGGGGGCCCGCACAAGCGGUGGAGCAUGUGGUUUAAUUCGAUGCAACGCGAAGAACCUUACCUGGUCUUGACAUCC
rnacentral:rRNA from 1 species